GCUACUUCUGCCGGCUUGGCUUCUUAGGGUGGGUGACUCAGGGAGUUGGGUUAACCCCCUGUUCCACACAUACCCUCCGCUCCCUUUGACACGAGAAUCCUGGUCUCCAGGAUAUUGCCUCAUGGGACAGGGUUUGGAGGUACAUAACCUCAGAAGGAGUAGCCAUCACUUAGGGUGGCCUCGUAAGGAGCCCUCGACGUUUACCAUCAGUGCACGGUCACCGGCGAGAGUCUGUUUUCCUGGAAUGAGCUGGGAAGGACCUAAGAUUGAAGGCCACCCAGAGACUGUCCCACCUGGAGAUCCAUCCCAUCUGCAGACACCAAACCCAGACACUACUGCUGAUGCCGAGAAGUGCUUGCUGACAGCCUGAUACAGUUAUUUUCUGAGAGGCUCUACCAGAUCCUGACCAAUACAGAUGCUGAUGCUCAAAGCCAACCAUUGGACUGAUCACAGGGACCCCAAUAGAGGAGUUAGGGGAAGGACGAAGGAGCGAAAGGGGCCUUAUCUGGCAUCAAUGGGAGGGGUGGCUUGGGUCCUAUGAAGGCUUGAUGUUCCAGUGUAGAGGAAUGCUAAGGCA